UCCCGGUUAACCCGGGCAGUCUCUCUAGAGUGCCCAACUUAAUGCUGGCAACUAAAGAUAGGGGUUGCGCUCGUUGCGAGACUUAACCCAACAUUUCACAACACGAGCUGACGACAGCCAUGCAGCACCUGUCACCUCAUUCCCUUGCGGGCACUCCCAACAUUACUCGGGAUUCGAGGGAUUUCAAGCCUAGGUAAGGUUCUGCGCGUUGCUUCGAAUUAAACCACAUAGUCCACCGCUUGUGCGGGCCCCCGUCAAUUCCUUUGAGUUUUAGUCUUGCGACCGUACUUCCCAGGCGGAGUACUUAAUGCGUUAGCUGCGCUCCUGAAGGGGUUAAUACCUCCAAGGGCUAGUACUCAUCGUUUACGGCGUGGACUAC
rnacentral:misc_RNA from 1 species